UACGUAGGGUGCGAGCGUUGUCCGGAAUUAUUGGGCGUAAAGGGCUCGUAGGCGGUUUGUCGCGUCGGGAGUGAAAUCCACUGGCUUAACUGGUGGCUUGCUUUCGAUACGGGCAGACUGGAGGUAUGCAGGGGAGAACGGAAUUCCUGGUGUAGCGGUGAAAUGCGCAGAUAUCAGGAGGAACACCGGUGGCGAAGGCGGUUCUCUGGGCAUGUCCUGACACUGAGGAGCGAAAGCGUGGGGAGCGAACAGG
rnacentral:rRNA from 1 species